UACGAGUGCCUCAAGCGUUAUCCGGAAUUAUUGGGCGUAAAGGGUGUGUAGGCGGUCUUGUUAGUCUUUUGUUAAAUUUCCCGGCUUAACCGGGAAUCUGCAGGGGAAACGGCAAGACUCGAGGAUGCGAGAGGUGAAUGGAACUCAUAGUGUAGGGGUGAAAUCCGUUGAUAUUAUGGGGAACACCAAAAGCGAAGGCAAUUCACUGGCGCACUCCUGACGCUGAAACACGAAAGCGUGGGUAGCGAAUGGG
rnacentral:rRNA from 1 species